UACGAGGGGGGCGAGCGUUGUUCGGAAUUAUUGGGCGUAAAGGGUGCGUAGGCGGUUUGGUAAGUCUUGUGUGAAAUCUACAGGCUCAACUUGUAGUCUGCACGAGAAACUGCCGGGCUUGAGUGUGGGAGAGGUGAGUGGAAUUCCUGGUGUAGCGGUGAAAUGCGUAGAUAUCAGGAGGAACACCUGUGGCGAAAGCGGCUCACUGGACCAUAACUGACGCUGAUGCGCGAAAGCUAGGGGGAGCAAACAGG
rnacentral:rRNA from 1 species